rnacentral:misc_RNA from 1 species
GAUGAAGAACGUAGCGAAAUGCGAUAAGUAGUGUGAAUUGCAGAAUUCAGUGAAUCAUCGAAUCUUUGAACGCACAUUGCGCCCUUUGGUAUUCCAAAGGGCAUGCCUGUUCGAGCGUCAUUUGUACCCUCAAGCUUUGCUUGGUGUUGGGCGUCUUGUCUCUAGCUUUGCUGGAGACUCGCCUUAAAGUAAUUGGCAGCCGGCCUACUAGUUUCGGAGCGCAGCACAAGUCGCACUCUCUAUCAGCAAAGGUCUAGCAUCCAUUAAGCCUUUUUUUCAACUUUUGACCUCGGAUCAGGUAGGGAUACCCGCUGAACUUAAGCAUAUCAAUAAGCGGAGGA